CGCCUCUCGCUCCCCGUCCUCAGGGCGGCUUCCCCCGCUCCUCCGCGGCCUCCCCGUUUGCCAGACGGCGGCUGCAGGCGGCCCGCGGUGAGGGAGGGGAGCGCCCCGGUCUCGGGGCACCGGGGGCGCCUCAGGCCGCGGGGAGAGCCCGGGAUGGCACGGGGCGAGCGGGUUUCCCUCAGAAUUUUCUGGCAGAUCGGUAAACUGUGCAAAUAGAGCGCAGGUCGGAGCGUGUCGAGGGGCUGAUGGGCGGCCAGUGGGGCCCCCCGGCACAUCCGAGGCGCCUCCGCUUCAUCCCCGUGGGGUCUGAGCCCUCAGAAGUUCUUCGUCUGUCGAUGACCAAACAGAGAGAUUUCAGGCUGUUCCCUGUUUAUAAUCGCCGUGGCACUCUCAGGAUCGCACCCGUUACCGGUGUGAACAAUAGCUUAGUGCGGGUUACACCAAAACACUCGGGAGCUGCACCUUCACCCGGCGUGUCCGGCCCGGGGAUCGUAAGCAAAAGACGUGGGACAGAUGGUAGAAGCAUCUUAAAAGCAAACGUGCCCCAGCCAGGAAAUGAUGCGUUAAGGAAAGGAAAUUAGCGUCUGGAAAACAUAAACAAACAGCCGCAUCUAAAAAUAGACCUAAUCAGCUUUGAGAUCGUGUUAAAAUGUAGUGAUAAUUGUGCGGUGGCACUGAGAGGCGAAGUGAAGGCUGCCGUGGUGCUUUCGCUUACCUGGAAGUCUGAUGUGUCAGCAGGGAGUUUUACAGAGUUUUUAAUGCAUGUGUUGGGCACAGUUGCAGUAUCAGUGACUAUAAUGCUUAUUACUGUUGUGUAUUAUCAACACUAAGCCUAAACAGUGUUUGUUUGGGAUUUAUUGCUCUGCUGUAAGAGCAGAUAAUAUUGACAGAGAUCAGAGAGCCAUUCAACAGUGUGCACUUCAUAUGUCACCCUUCUGCUUGGUUGCCCUCUCUCCUUUCUUAUCUUUCCCCUUCCUAGCCCACUUUGCCUUCCCCCAAGAGGAUGGACAUCUGCCCAUACUUGUAAUGGUUCCUUUUUUCCUUUUAAUUCAAAUUAUGGGGGCAGGGGGAGAAUUACAAGGAGUAAUUAAUCAAAAUCUUGUUAAACAAGCCUUAUCCAUCACAGCAUUCGAUGAAUUAUUGUAAAACAUUACAGAAUUAUUCUCUUUUCGUGAUUGUUAUAGACUGUCCCUUUCCAAGGAUGACGACGGCUCAAUAAAGCAUCCAUCCAACCCAAUUUAAAUGCAGUUUAAUGUUUUGUGUAACACCCAGGGCUGUGGUCUUGCAGGCAGUUAAGCACAUACUUAAUUUCCAGCCUGUUAGCAGUAAAAGUAUUUCCUAGAUUGUUAGUAAUUAAAUCGAUGCCUGGGUGUUAACGCUUAAGGUCGUGGCCUAAAUUUGUGAUAUAAUUAUGGAGAUAAAUGUGGAUUUUGGUAGGUUCCCAGUGUAUCUCAGCAACAAUGGGAAGACAAGACCCUGAACAAAGAAUACUGGUGAAUGCCCAAGGGAUGUUCUUAAUUGCCACAUACAUCUCAAAAGAUGGGAGAUGGCUUUGAAUGCCUGUUACUCCAGCAACCUGAACAAAGCUGUUUCAUGUCUUGGAAAAACCCACAGUUCCAUCCCUGUCCUGAAAUAUUCCCUUCACCACAAAACCCUCGGCGCUGGUUCCUGUGCCCGGCGCUGGGCCGGGUAACACGUGGCACUGUGUUGGCAGCUCUGCAGUGUGACUGUUAAGCAGGCAUUAAGUUUUCAUUACCUUGGCUGGGUUCCACCGUGCUCAGUUUUAGUCUCCCCGCGUCAAGUUUGGGUUUGAUCUUUGCGUUGUGAUCAACAGCGUUUGCCUCGCACCUUGUGCCGUGUCUUGCGCUCCAGAAAUGUUCAUGCACACAAACACCACCCCCGGGGACACAGCAAACAGCCCCUGGGCAGCUCUUGGGGCAGUGUCUCACUGCAAAUUGGUGGCUGAGGUGGCAUCAGUGACAGGUACUUUCCCUGUUGACUUUUUUCCCUUGAUUGAAGCUCUGAGAUUCUCCUGAUGAAGGACAUCUACUAAUCAUUAACUGUUGUGUCCUGUCAGGAUUUGGGCUCUGCUGGAAGGAAAAUGCAACAGCUGCAUUGCUGCUCCUGUGCUACAGCUUUGUGUGAAUGACUCUGGAAAGGAUCUGCAGAAAGGACAAUGCAGUGGCUUUCUAGUAAUGCAGAUUUUCAUCCAGCUUGCCUGUUUGUCCUUAUUUUCUCAUAAAUUCUGGUAAAGUUGAAUGGGAUAAUAGCAAAGGAGAAAGGCUAAAUAACUUCUUUGAAAGCUGAGUGGCAUCAGGUGAUAGAGGAGGAAAAAACAAAGAUCAAGGGGGCAAAAAAACCUAGAAAAAUAGGAAUUAAAAGUAGCAGCCUGACUUGUCAUUAAAACCAGGAUCAGUUUUUUGGAAAUUUUGAGUUACAUCUUUGGAGGCGGGAAGGGAAAAAGUCGAAACAGCUGGCCUGGGGUUAGAAGGGGACUGAAGCUGGUGUGUUUUGGCUUCAGAGUACCUUACAUUGCUCCUUGGAUGUGUUUGAGAACUCUGUACGUUUACAGCUUUUGCUCAAAAAAAUUAGCAAUGGCUGAAAAGAAAGAAUGAAGAAAACCAGUACUUCUAUUUUUGUAGGAUAUGAACCAGACUGAAAAACAUCUGCUAAUCCUUUUCUGUAAAGAAAAGUUAAUAUUUUGUGGCCAGCACACGGCCGUGGUAAUCCAGAAGAACUGGUUUCUCCACAUGGCUCUGCCACAGUUUCUUUUAAGAGACCUGGGGCAAUCCUUGUACUGAUCAUCAGUGCAGGAGUCCAGCAGUUUUAGGUUUAUUAAUCACUCAAGAAAACACAGAUGGAGUCCUUAGAGCAAGUCCUAAGAUCCUGAUGGGUUUGUUUCCCCCCUACCCACUCCCACCCAGCGAUCCAGUCAUGCCAGUUCUGUGCUGCUUCUCUGCCCUGCUGCACCUUGGUUUAUUUUAGACAAAGAAUAAAUGUCUCAGCAGAACGGAUGAGCAGCACCCCCUCCCCUGCCCAGAACAUCCAGUCUAAGGUUCUGACAGUCACCAGGGAAGGGGAAAAGAUAAUCCUGCAGUUCAGCCCAAGCUGUGAUGUGCUCAGCCCAUCUCCAGAGAAGAGAACCCUGUUGCAGCUGCAGUGUCCCUGCAGUACGAGGAGAGGUGUGUGGAAUGGAACCUGGGUUAGCACAGUGUCGUUUUUGAUGUUGCCUUUCAUCUUGAAAAACAGGCUGCACAUGAUAAAUGUGCUUCAGAUUUCUUCUUUUCCUUAUCUGAAAACUGUAUAAACUAUUAGGCUUGAGCACUCUGCUGUGAGGGAUGGUGUUCUGAAAAUCUAAGAGCAAAGAAAUAAGCUAGAUAUUCAUUUUAUUGAAAUAAAAGAAUUUUGAUGACCCCUUUAAAACACAGGAGCAUAAAUCCUUGUAAUGCAUUUGUCUGCACAUGAAAUAACUUACCUUGUUAGUGACACUCAUUAUUUACUCUCUUCUGAUUUUCCAGAAACCUUGUUUACAUUACAGACCUGUGGAAGGAAAUUAUCCUGUCUUUGGUCAUAGCUGUCUUCUCACAACUGUGAUGCAAAGGGGGAAUAAAAUGAGUGAAAUUUCCAAACCAGAAAUGUCCUCUGGCCUCUUGUAUUCCAUUGAGCAUUCCAGGAGUAAGAAAGCCUGAACAGCUCCAACUUAGGUAGAGUUGAAGGGGAGAAGGAAGCUCGUGGGCACACCAGUUUCAGUAGCUCAGUUCAGAUGUUAUUUGUGAUGUGGACAGGCUGCAGUCCCAGCUGGGGGUUGAAUUAACUGGGAACUACAUCAAUGUAUUGAAGGCAGUUCAGAAUGCACUGUGCUGUACUUUGAUGUGGGAGAUAGUGGUAAAUAAUUCGAUUAGGAUUUUCCCUUCUGUGGGUCUGGAACAUCCCUGGGCUUGAAAAUCUCAAAGUUUUAUGAAUUCAUAUAGAGCAGGAUUGUGAUUGAAAAUUAUUCUUUAAAAUGUCAUUGCAUUCCUAGUAAGUCACUAGGCUGAGCACUCACUGCUUUUCCUCUCUGUAGGUGGAGUUCUUCUGUCUAGACAAAUAAGAAGUUUGGGUUGAUUUUAUUUUUAAUGGCAUUCUCCCAGAGUUUGUAAGUUAUCAGUAAAUCUUUAAACUUCACAUGCUGUCUAGUGACAACAUGCAUUUUUCAAUAUCUAAAACUAAAGUAGAUCCAAUAGUUUAAACAAAAUCUAGAGUAGAAGUAUUCGAAAGUUUGACAUUAUUUUUUAUUACUUUAAAACAGUUUAAUCAUAGAAUUUUAAUUAAGACAUCUUCAACAUUCUAGAAAUAGGUUGAGAUGUUUCCUGAAUCUUUGUCUUUCCUAUGAAAGCAAACUUUAAAUAGCAGGAAGUUUUCAUAUUCCUUUUUAAGACUGUGUUACCUGGUUUAAAGCUUUAUAAUUUUUUCAGAACUACCCCUUGAUUAAUUUGUUUAAUCUUUUCCUAAAUGCCUAAGGAGGCUUAAAGUGCCUGGAUCUGGGCGGUUUUUACAACUGAACACAAAGUUUGAUUGAACUGCAACUUUGAAAAGUUGUGGCCAGGAUUCUGAACUUUGGUUGAUUUCACUUUAUGAGGAAAUAUAAUAUUAUUUUCUGUCAAUCAUAUGUUUUAAUAUUUUAGCAGAAACCUGGCUGUGCAAACAGAGGGAUGAAAAUAGGAUGAAAAAUGGGGAUUAAAUUGCAGGGGACACAUUCUCAGUUAAACUGUGGCAGUCUCUCUCACAGGGAAGCUUUUCUUGUUACGAAACCAUCCCAGAGAAAGGACAAAGCAAUAGAUAGAAAGGAGCAAGAAAAUCUCCUGGUGCCAGCCCCGGCCUGUGUAGUGCAUCACAUGACCCUGCAGAAUCAUAAAUAUUUUAGGAAGAAGGAGAAAAACCACCUUAUCAGGGGAAUUAACACUGAGGUGAAUAUCUGCAGCUUCUCUGACUGUUUUACUCUCUGUGCCAUGAAGAACAGUUGCCCUGUGAAUUGUUUCAAAUUUAAUUGAUACCAAACUUGGUGCCAUCGUCGGCGAUUUACAGUUACUGGGACAACUGUACCAUGUAAGAGGACAUCAAACCACACAAUAUAAACUAUGUGCAAACGUGCACGGUCAGGGAAUGGUUUUCUGUGAGUUAUCUGAUGUCUGAUACACAUUUUAAAAAUGUAAAAAA